UACAGGGGGGGGCAAGCGUUGUUCGGAAUUACUGGGCGUAAAGGGCUCGUAGGUGGCCAACUAAGUCAGACGUGAAAUCCCUCAGCUUAACUGGGGAACUGCGUCUGAUACUGGAUGGCUUGAGUUUGGGAGAGGGAUGCGGAAUUCCAGGUGUAGCGGUGAAAUGCGUAGAUAUCUGGAGGAACACCGGUGGCGAAGGCGGCGAUCCUGGACCAAUACUGACACUGAGGAGCGAAAGCCAGGGGAGCAAACGGGG
rnacentral:rRNA from 1 species